AACGCGAAGAACCUUACCUGGGCUCGAAAUGCUGUGGACCAGCUUAUGAAAAUAGGCCUUCCCGCAAGGGACCGCAGUAUAGGUGCUGCAUGGCUGUCGUCAGCUCGUGUCGUGAGAUGUUGGGUUAAGUCCCGCAACGAGCGCAACCCUUGUCCUGUGUUGCCAUACCGAAAGGUGGAACUCGCAGGAGACCGCCAGGGAUAACCUGGAGGAAGGUGGGGAUGACGUCAAGUCCUCAUGGCCUUUAUGUCCAGGGCUACACACGUGCUACAAUGGACGGUACAAAGGGCUGCCAACCCGCGAGGGGGAGCCAAUCCCAAAAAACCGUUCUCAGUUCGGAUUGCAGGCUGCAACUCGUCUGCAUGAAGCUGGAAUCGCUAGUAAUGGCGGAUCAGAACGCCGCCGUGAAUACGUUCCCGGGCCUUGUA
rnacentral:rRNA from 1 species